rnacentral:lncRNA from 1 species
UUGUGUGUUUGAUGUGACAUGCUGAGUGUACGUCUCCCAUCACCCAAAUGCAAGCUCCUUGAGAGCAGCGACGUGGUAUUUCCAAUGCCUGGAACAGUACGUGGCACCUGAUGAGUACAGUCAAAGGCUGGAAUGUUGGCGUGAUGGUUGAAGCUGUAACAGCCAUCUUCGACUACAAAAUGGAAGCUGCAUGCUACAAAUGACAGAAGACAAGAUCAAAAGAACCUGUGUUCCCAGCACCACAGAACUGUCCCUAUGGAAAUAGACAUGACUGUUACAUAAGAAAGAAAUAUACCCUACUAUGUUUAAGCCUCUGUUAUUUUAGCAUGUGUUGUAGCAGUUGUAUACUAAGUAACUAAUGAGAAAGAAUAUUUUGUGCCCUGGUAAAGAUGGAUACUUCUAUAUGUUAUGAGAACAAUUUGAUGAGGUAAUUGUAAUUUAGUAGAAUAAUAUCAAAUAUUAAUGUCAAAUGACUAGUUUGGCAUUGCCACAUAGUAAUUGUUGGGCAAGUUAUUAACCUGUGUCUCAGUUUCCUCACUGGUAGAAUAACAAUAACAGACAAUCGUACUAGUGUCUAACGUUUUACUGAACAUGUAGCUUGGUUCAGCGCCACACAUUAUUUGAAUUAAGUAGAAUAAGAGAGUCCUGAGUAAAUAUAACCCAAAUGUAAAUUAUUUUUAAACUUUA